UAAGUGCAUCCCACACAUAUAUACACACACCCCACAUCUUUUCUAUCCACUCGUCUGUCAGUGGGUCUAGGUGGCUUCCAUGUCCUGGCUCUUGUGAACAGUGCUGCAGUGAACGUUGGGGUGCCUGUGUCCUUUUGAAUCGUGGUUUCUCAGGGUGUGUGCCCAGGAGUGGGAUUGCUGGGUUGUAUGGCAGUUCUACUUUCAGCUUUUUUAGGAACCUCCGUACUUCCCCACAGUGGCUGAAUCAACUUACAUUCCCACCAACAGAGCCCGGGAGUUAGUUCCCUUGUCCUUGCACCCUUUCCAGCACUUGUUUGUAGGCUGUUUCGGCGAUGGCCGUCCUGAGCUUGUGAGGCGCCUCACUGUAGUUCGGUUUGCAUUCCUCUGACAGCUAGUGGUGCUGGACAUCUUUUCAUGUGCCCCUGGGGCAUCUGUCUGUCUUCUUUGGGGAAAUGUCUGUUUACGUCUUGGGUCCAUUUUUUGAUUGGGCUGUUUACUGCAGGGAGAUCACCUGCUCAUUUUAGUGAUGGAGAAGCUGAAGCUGAGAAAUCUGCCCAAACCUCAGCAGUGAGAGGGAUGGGGCUGCCGCUGGAACGGGCCUCUCAGGUCCCACCCCUGUGUUCACCACCCCGUGAGCUGUCUGCUGUGAAGACGCACAUCCAGGAGCACACACAGAAGGACCUGCAAGUGCCAACAGCUCAACCGGUUAUUUACCUAAACUCAUCUUUGUUGAGCACCUAUUAUGUGCCAUGCAUCAUGCUGGGAUAUGGAGGUACACUGCCGAACUUGACCUAGUAUUGGCACAAGAUCCUCGACCUGAUGGAAGGUUAGAUAAACAAGAAAAUUACCAACAGAGGAGAGAACGAAGACUGAAGGGCCGUGAUCACAUCUGGCUGGGUGAGGCAGAGAAAGAUUUUAAGACAGGUCCCCAGCAUCCGCGCGGUGCGUCUUUGGGCCCGAGGACCAGCUGGCUCGGCAUAGCCCAGGCCGAUCUCGGGACGAGAAGCUGGGGUAAGCGGUGGAGGAUCCCUCCUGGGUCCACUGCGUGGGCGACGUGCCGGUGCAAGCGCCGCCUCAUCCGGGGAAGGUCGAUCGAGGCCGCGCCACGCUGGACUGGGGGUGGAUGCGAAUGCACCUUCGGAUGCUCUGGUCCCCAGCCCUUCCGGACCGAGGUUCCCCUCACUCCGCGGGAAUCGGGGACCGCGGGAGCUGGGGUGGCUGAAAGAACAGGGUAGCCUCCUUGGCAAAGACCGCGGGGGAGGAGACUCCCUGGCGAGGGAAGCGAGCGCUGCCGAGGCCGCCGGUCCCUUUAAGAGGCCGGGCUGGCUCUGCGGCGAUCCCACCUGACCGCCUGCCUGGUGCAGUUCUGCGGGCCGUGUCCCCGGGAGAAGGAUCGGAGCCGGGCCGGGCCACAGGACCCGGCGCAGGGGAGGGAGGGGUCCAGUCCGGAGCUGGGCGGGGCCUCCGGUUCCCGGAGCGCCGCA
rnacentral:lncRNA from 1 species